UUUUUUUCUCUCACUAACCCUAGCUGCGCCAAUCUUUUCCCUUUUCCCUCUCAGUCUCUACUGUUCUCGCACUCUCGCAUCAGCGAAUCCUCCAUGGACGCGUCAAACAGGAACAUCGACCGUCUCGGGAACCGCUUUAGGCUUCGGCGACGCUUCUUCUUCGAGCGAGAGAAAGAGUGGCGGCAGUGGUGUUUGGGGUUUGGGUUUCGAACGACUGUGGUGAUGGCUAUUUGGGUGAUGGUGGUGUGAAUGGAGGAGCGAUUUGGGUGAUGGUGGUGCGAAUGGAGGAGGGGAAGUGGAGCCCAGCUUCAGAUUGAGAAGGGAAAGUGGUUGUGGUGGCGUUUAGGGAGAGGAAGAGUGGCGGCAGUGGUGUUUGGGGUUUGGGUUUCGAAGGUCAAUGGUGAUUUGGGGGUUUGAAGGUCAGUGAAGAGGGUUUGAGGAGAGGAUACAGGAAGGAGGAGACAGAAUGGGUGUGGGUUUGAAGAUCUGGGUUCUUCUAUCUUUCAACUUUGAUUUGUUGGGUUUGAAGAUUCUUGGUUCUUAAAUUUGGGUUUUUCAGAGUGAGGGAACCCUAGUCCGCGCCGUCUCUCUUCAUCGAGCCCUGGUUCCGUGCAGCCAUCACCGCGUCUCUGAGAACCCUAGUUUCUUUUGCUGUUUCAUGUGCUUUUGUAAUUUACGAAAUCCUGGUGUUGUCUGCUCUCAACCUAUACAGAUUUGUAUUGAUGACAGAAUCUUCAGGAAAGACAAACUGCACUGGUGUCCUAUCAAGGAACACUUUGUUGAAGGCCUUCAAUGAAUGGUUGCUUCCUUUGCGGACCUUAGUGACAGGUAUAUUGGCAGAGAACAAGAAUGAUUAUGAUCAGCUUGCAGUUGACACUUUAUGCACAAUAAAUCCACUUGAGUUGGUGUUGUACCGGUGCAUUGAGCUUGUAGAAGAUAAGAUAAAGGAAGCCACAUAGGCUAUCCCACUGGCCAAAACUUUUAUCGCUUGCUUCUUUUCAGUAUCCCGUAAUUUAUGAUUCUGCUUUUACUAUUUAUUGCUUGCUUCUUUUCUAUCGAGAUAGUUUCUUUGAUUCUCUCACUGGAUUGGAUUUAAGAGAUAAUGACAAUAGGAUCAUAAUCAAGUUUAUGAUAAUCACCCGUUGAAGCUGCUUGUAAAGGGUUUCCUGCAGACAGAGUCAUGGAAUAAAAGGUCUAGGAACUGCUUUGGCUCUUAUGAAGCAGUAGCAUGGUGCGAACAUGCUUUUGGUGCGAACCGACCAGUGUUUCCUCCUCAAUGGUUUCAUUUUCUUAGGAAGGGAAGCCCUUACUUGGUACUCUACUAGAUGCAUAUAGAAGUAGCUUGCAAAAUUUAAGGGAAGGAUUUCAACUCUUUUAAUAUCUUAUCUCAGGCUCAACCUGAAAUUUCACCUUCACUCUACUUGUUUUGUAUAUGUUUCAGGGAAGCCCUUACUUGGUACUCUACUAAAUUCAGUCACAUCUUUUGGUUUCUAAUUAGAUGAAAUUCAGUUACAUCUUGAUUAGAAAGACUAAAUUGCAUCCACUCAUCUUGAUUGAAGAAGGAUAUAUAACAAACUGGCUUUGAAGCUUCUUAUAUGAAGAGGUGAUUUUUUAACUGGCUUGAAGCUUCUUAUAUGAAGAGGUGAUUUUUUGUCUACUUCAUUGCAUUCUCAUAUUUGGCCAGGACUUUCCAUGAUAUUGGCCCUAGAGUAGUUUUUAUAGCUCACUUGAGAGAGUAUGUUCUCAAGAACAAUUAGUUAUUAAUAUUAUUAGUAUUGUUUUGGACAAAUUAGUGAAGUGGGUUCAGUAUUGUUAUUCUCUUGGCUGGAAUAUUUGAAUGUAGGUUCUCUUGGCUGUAAUAUGUGAAUGUUGUUGUUCUCAACAUGUGAUUUUUUGCAAGUUUAUUUUUCUUGUAUUUUUUCUUGCUUAUGGGUUCAAACACCCCUCCCCUCCUAUUUAAAAUGCACUGCAAUUUAUGUACAGCCCAUAUCAAAUAAAAAAAAAUCCAAAAAGGGCAUAUUUUGUAUACAAUAUUUGCCAAAAUAGAGACACAUAUUGCCACGGUUCCUACCUGGACCGUGGCAAUAGAGGCCAUCUAUUGCCACGGUUCCUCCCUGACCCGUGGCAAUAGAGGUCAUCUAUUGCCACGGUUCCUCCUUGGACCGUGGCAACAGAUGCCACAUAUUGCCACGGUUUCCCUUUUCCAACUGUGGCAACAGCGAAUCAAUUGUCACGGUUCGAAGUUCAACCGUGGCAAUUGAGCAAUUGCCACGGGAGCUAUUGCCACGGUUCAACCGUGGCAAAAGGGCGGGUUUAACCGUGGCGAUAAGCCUUUUCUGUAGUAGUGUAGGUGUAUAAAAGGAAGCUUACCCAUGAGGGAAAGGCAUCCGAAAAAUCCAUCCCCUUCUUUCUCCCUUGUAAUAUCUCCUUGUAAUCCUUAUUCUGAAGUUUCAAUCAAAAGCUCUAUUAUUGUAAGUACUCUAAAAAGUGUAUAUAUAUAUAUAUAUAUAUAUAUAUAUAUAUAUAUAUAUAUAUAUAUAUAUAUAUGGCCCCAUAUAUAUAUCUUGUGGAUGUCUCGGAUCAUCCACUGGUUUGGGCAUAAAAUAAUGGCGAAUGCACCCACUAAUUGGGAGGAUUUCGAUGGUGUCUUGAGGCUAUUGGUCCCUGGGACUGGGACUUCUGUAGACUUUGUUUCUUAGUAUCUGAGGGAAAAGUCUAGUGAUGACCCGAGGUUUAUUCUAUUUUUGUCGAGUCAUUCUUGUUUCUUUCUUUUCCUUUUUGAGUCAUUUUUGGAGUUUUAAGUCAAGUUGAGUCCCUUUUUAAUUCAUAUUUGCAUCUGCAUUAGUUUAGUUGUUUUUAGUAUAUUUAUUUGGUCUUUUUAUUAGUUUUAGUUAGAGGAUAAUUCGUAUGGUCAGUUUUGAGCUGAAGUCCUUUGAAUUCAUUACUGUUGAUUGCAUACUGAGAGUUUUGUUUGAUGAAUUGAAUGGAUGGUUGCUGAAUUAUUGUGAUUAAAUAAGUGUUUCCAUGAGUUACAUUGGUGGAAUGAUGGUUUGUUGAGAUUCUUUGAAGGUUUCAGGUGUUUUUGAUGGAAAAUGAUGAUGAUUGAAAGCCAAGUAAUGAGCCAUAAUGAUAAAUGAAGAAGGAGUUACAAAAUCGAAGAAAAAUCAGAUGAGCCACGCAUGUGCGCCAUGUAUCCCACGCACAUGCGUGGAGCUACUAUUGGAGAAACCUGAUGCCCACGCAUGUGCGCCGCCUGAUCCACGAACAUGCGUGGUGGCAAAACCUGAUGCUGCGUUUUUUGCGUUUUAAGCGUUUUUGCCCACGCAUGUGCGUGGAGAAGGCCACGCACAUGCGUGGAUGACUGCUGGAAACUCUAUUAGUGAUCUUGGAACUUUUUGAACAAAACUUAAAGGUUUAGGUUCUUGGAGCCUGUGGGAGGCUUCUUGGCCCUCUUCUUUCAGGUUUUUGUUCCUUUAGUUUGCAUUAUGAAUUCCCUAGCCAUGCUUGGCUAGUUUUCUUUGUACUUUGGGUGAAGUGAACCUUAGCUUUGAUUAUGUUUUGAACUUCUGAGUUUCUCAUAUGAAUAAAGUUUUCUUUCUAUGUA